rnacentral:lncRNA from 1 species
CCCCCUUCUUUCCUUGUUUCCUAUCACACACCAUGGCCAAGGGAAAGUUUUUUAUUUGAUCAUGCUUAUUCUUUUAUAUUAGGUUUAAUGCAAUCCCUUAAGAGUGACUUGCCCUAUUUUAAGCAUUUUUAAUUAUCAGCACUUUUUUUUUUUUUUUUAUUUAACUUUGCCUGAAAAAAUCNNNNNNACGCGAUGGUGCAUAUGGGUGAUACACCCCCGGUUACUCAGUUGGUCACUUGUCCAAGUGGCUACUAGCUCUGUUCAUAAUCUUAGGCCAUCGGAACUUUAUUUUUGAUGCCUGAAAAAGUCACCAACCUUUUUACGCGACGGUGCACAUGGGUAAUACACCUCCGGUUACUCAGUUGGUCACUUCUCCAAGUGGCUUUUAGGCACAGUUCAUAGUCUUAGAUCAUAGGAACAGGUUGUGCUUUCUGAUUUGCUGAGUUUUUCUUUUUCUUUUUCCUUUUUAUAUCAAUUUGGGCAAAUCAACUCAAAGAGAAUUACACUAACUUUUAUUGCAUGUAUUUUAUUUUCCUUUCCUAUUGGCCACAGCAGUUUCAAGAACUCAAUUCAAGAAAAAGAACUUCCUAAGUAAGGGCUACACACUGUGCAUGGUUCAAUUUAGGUUUAAAGGGUUGGAUAAUUUAAUGGGGUCAUGAGGUAAGGAACUCUUUUGGCUUAGUCAUCUAUGCUGAGUAGAGCAAUAGGCUAAAAAAAACAAAAUUCUGUGUGUGUGUGCAUAUGUGUGGAAGAAAAAAUUUUCUGGUGUGUGAAAGAGGUAAGACUAAUGCAAAAAGAAACAAAAAGAAUGUAAAAGAAAACUAAACAUGGUGAGGACUGUGCAAGUGAAGACUGUGCAAAAUGUUCUCCAAACACCCCCCCACACCUAUUGCAAACAUUGUCCCCAAUGUGUGAACAUAUAUACAUAUAAAUUAAGAAGGAAAGGGAAAGGGACUUCCUGGCCUGGGGUGAUUUGGGCAAAUUGCCUCAGUGAUUUGGGCAAAUCACCCAGCCAAAUCACUGUCUUUGCUGUUCUGUGGGCAGGAAGUGAUUCACAUCUGCUGGUUCUUCUGCUGGGGCAGUAUGCUGUCUGAUUAGCUGUCUUCAUCCUGAACACACGCUCAUGGCCAAUGCAAAACAUAUAAAGAGAAAAAUGAGAGAGAAAGGGACUCCCUAGGGUGGUGAUUUGGCCAAAUCAGUGGCCAAAUCAGCUGUGAUGGUGGUCUGCAGGUAUGAAGUGUUGAACCAGCAGCUGCAGCAUGCCUUCCAUGUGUAUGGUUCGGGCCUCCAUUCUGUCAAGGCGAGAUUCUGCAGAUUGAUCAGCUGCUGGAGGUUCUGCUGAUUUGGGCAGUGAUUUGGGCAAAUCACUUGGCCAAAUCACCUCUGCUGUAGUUAAGUUCUGCUGAUUUUCCCAUUGAUUUGCGCAAAUCACCUCGGCUGGGUUGCCUCCCAGUAGCGCCCUAGUUUAAAGUCGCGGGCUGGACUUUUCUGACUUGAUCAAGGCUCAAGUAAUAGGGGGAGGGAAAAGGAUUCCCACAGAAUUAAGUAAGAAGUGUAGCACACCUUUCAUUUUGGUUAUAAUCCAUCCUAUUUCUUUCAUGUACUCAUGAAAUAGCAUGAUUAAUUUCUCCUCUUUCAAGUGAGGUGUGCCUCUAGCCCCUAUGUUUGAAAUUUUGAGGUGAUUGGGCAGCACUUUGAACUCCAAUUCAUAUUUCUCCAUAAAAGGUG